UGUGGGAGCGAGCUUGCUCGCGAUAGCGUUGGUUCAGCAGCAUUGAGGGUGGCUGGCACGCCGUCAUCGCGAGCAAGCUCGCUCCCACA
rnacentral:misc_RNA from 1 species